UAUCCUACGGGAGGCAGCAGUGGGGAAUAUUGCGCAAUGGGCGAAAGCCUGACGCAGCGACGCCGCGUGAGGGAUGAAGGUCUUCGGAUCGUAAACCUCUGUCAGCAGGGAAGAACGGUCACUGUGCUAAUCAGCAGUGAAUUGACGGUACCUGCAAAGGAAGCACCGGCUAACUCCGUGCCAGCAGCCGCGGUAAUACGGAGGGUGCGAGCGUUAAUCGGAUUGACUGGGCGUAAAGCGCUCGUAGGCGGUAUGUCAAGUCAAGGGGGAAAUCGCCGCGCUAAACGUGUGAACUGACUU
rnacentral:rRNA from 1 species